GCCCGGAUGGUCUAGUUGGUAUGAUUCCUCGUUUGGGUCGAGGAGGUCCUGCGUUCAAAUCGCGGUUCGGGCC
rnacentral:tRNA from 1 species